ACUUAGGUGAGGGGCGGGUUAUUGUAUGUCUAGUAACCGUUCCCUGAAUGCCAUUUCUAGGGUGAUGAAGUUGCUUCCAGCACAGCCUUCUCACACGGGUGUUGUGACCAUAUACUUAUUACAUUGAUGCCUUCUUCACUCCCCUCUCCUGAAGAAGCGGAAUAAUCUCCGAAAGGCGUCAAAUUGGGAGUCCUUCAACUUUCUCCCCUUGGACAAUUUUUACAGAACUAUGAAAUGUAACCUAGCUAUACAUUGUAUUGUUUAACCUGUAAUAGGUGUUGAUGGCAACAUGAGAAGUCCAUCCAGGGGACAUAUAUUUUAUACAUUGAAACACACAAGAGCUUGUAAUGUAAUGUUUUUAUUAUUGUUGGAAUAAAGAUGAUUAUUUUAA